UCUCUUUAAAAGCAAAGCACAUAUGUACUUUAUGGACCAACUCUAAGCUAAGGAUGAGAGCAAACAAAGCCAUGGAGAAACAACAAAACUCUCUCCCACUUCACGUUAGCCAUGUUAAAAAAUCCUCCUUAAUAAUCAAUAGGUCAUUGGUACUGCUUCAUUUUACAUCCUUAGCUUUCUUGGUGUACUACAGAGUCUCUUAUUUCUUCCAAGUAUCCAACGCCAGAGCCGCGCCGCUGUUGCCAUGGCUUCUAGUCUUUGCUGCCGAGCUUCUCCUCUCCUUUCAGUGGCUCCUAGGCAUAGCUUAUCGCUGGCGUCCCAUUUCUCGUACCGUUUUCCCCGAAAGGUUACCGGAAGCCGAGCAACUUCCGGGUAUAGAUGUGUUUAUUUGCACUGCGGAUCCGACUAAAGAGCCAACUGUGGAGGUAAUGAAUACGGUUUUGUCAGCUAUGGCGCUUGAUUAUCCGCCAGAGAAGCUGCAUGUUUACCUUUCAGACGAUGGAGGUGCUUCUAUAACUUUGCUUGGUAUGAGGGAAGCUUGGAAGUUUGCAAGAUGGUGGCUUCCGUUUUGUAAGAGGUUUGGGAUCAAAACAAUAUGCCCUGAAGCUUAUUUUUCUGAUCCAGAGAAUGGUGAUGGUGACUCUGGAAAUGCUGAGUUCAUUGUUGAGAGGGAAAAGAUUAAGGUUCGUUUGUUAUUAUUACUGUUAUUAUCAUACUAAAAUCUUAGUCCUGAAAAUCUGAAGUAGAAAGAGAUUUAAGAAAUAUGUUGAAACCUUCUAACUUAUUUAGGUUGAAAAAGAAUAAUUUUAAUGCCAUUUUUCUAAGAUGCUUUUUAAAUCGUUUGUUUUUGUUUUUUGAGUGCAUAGACAUUCUAUUGAGAUAGAUUUGUUGAUUGCAAAUGCUUUUGGUGCAGGAAAAAUACACUGAGUUCAAGGAACGGGUAACGAGAGCCAUUGAAAAAUGGGGGCUAGAGAACGAAGGCAUUUCCAGAAGUCGAGAUCAUCCUUCUGUGGUUGAGGUAUAAUAAUAUGAUGAAAAUAUCCAUUCCCAUACGCUUGAUCAAUAAUGCUAUAAUUUGAAUUUGACUUUUUCUUUUUUUUUUUGGGUUAAAGUAUCAUUGUGAUUUUGACUCCUCUUUUUUUUUUUUUGAAAAGAAAGUAUGCCUUUCUAUUUAAUGUUUGGUCCUUAUCGAUUCACUUUUUUUAUGACUCUUUUGGCAUCACAGCAUUGAAUCCUACUUUCACAGACAAAGACCCUCAUAAAAAAUAACAAAGAGAGAUAAGGAUUAAACUAAAACUUUACUCAUUUAAUGUUUGGUCCUUAUCGAUUCACUUUUUUUAUGACAUAUGACUUCUCUUGAGUUUGUUAUUGUUAUAUUAUGGUCCCUAUCGGAUCAAAAUUUUAGUUGCAGCCAAAAAUUGAGAAUCCGGAGGGACCAAAAGUCAUAAGAGUAAACUUUUAAGAGUGUAAACUUUUAAGAGUCGCAAUUAAAAAGAAAAAAAAAAAAGAGUAAACAUAUUAAAAUAAGGGUAAAAUAUCAAGUUGACAAAAUCAUAGGGCCAAUUCUUAAAAGAGUUAUUAACAACUUAAUAUGUGUUUUUUUUUUUUUUUUUGGGUGUUUUCGCUAUUGAGUAUACUUAACGACACGACUGGUGAUUUCAUUUUUCUGCAGAAUCUGGCUAUUAAAUUAUAUAUAAUCGGUUCACAUAUACGCAUAUUUUUCAGGUGAUAGGAGAAAACGAUAAUGAAGCAGCGAAUGAGGAACAACAAAUGAAUAAUAAGAUGCCUCUCCUUGUCUAUGUUGCUCGCGAGAAAAGGCCUUCUCAUCCACACAAUUUCAAGGCUGGAGCCUUAAACGUUCUUGUAUGAUCUUCUCUAAUCAUUCACACUCACACACACAUGGUGCAUAAUUUAAUUGCAUGCAUAUGCUUAAUAGAAGCUGUUGUUGAUGUUGUAGCUUCGGGUUUCCGGUGUAAUGAGCAACUCUCCCUAUAUAUUGAUGCUAGACUGUGACAUGUAUUGCAAUGACCCAACUUCGGCUAGGCAAGCCAUGUGUUUCCACAUUGAUCCCAAAAUCUCUUCCUCGUUAGCAUUCGUUCAGUUUCCUCAGAAAUUUCAUAACAUCAGUCAGGAUGAUAUUUAUGACAGCCAGCUCCGAUACAUAUUCUGGGUAUGACCAUAUUGAACCCUUCCGCUGCGGGCGUCCGUACCCAAAGGAUAAUUAUUUGCCGUUCAUUAGACUGCUUAAUUACAUUUUUGUCAUGACUCAUUUGAUUGCUAAUUUGAAUUAUUUUUUUUUUUGGUAAUUUACCAUUUUAGUCAUUAUGGUACGGUAUGGAUGGGCUAAAGGGACCGAUCGUGUCUGGUACAAACUUUUACAUGAAGAGGGAGGCACUUUACAGCGUUUCUAUGCAAGAAGGUAAAUUUGCUAGCAACUAAUUGAUGUGCAUAUAUCAAUUAAUAAUGUAACAUGAUUGUUAAAAAAAAAAUCAAAAUCUCUAUUUCACUUAACUUUUAUUAUUGCAACAUUUAAAGUUUGUAGUUCUUGUUUAUUAUAAUAAACAGGCAUUGACCUCACAGAGCUGAAGAAUUCUUUUGGUCCAUCCAAUGAGUUCCUCAAAUCUCUUCGUCGAAACUCCAAGCCAAGCAGAUAUGAUAAUGAUUCAUCAAGCACUUUGCUACAAGAGAGCAAAUUUUUGGCCUCAUGUGCCUACGAAAGUAACUCAAAAUGGGGUGAAAAGGCAUGUGUAUAUCGUACAUAAUCAAUACCUAAAGGAACUAAUUAAAUUAUUGUGAUGACACAUUGUGUUUAUUUACUAACCAAAGCUAUCUAGCUUUUAACAUGCAGGUUGGUUUUAUGUAUCAUUCUCUUGUUGAAGAUUACUUCACAGGAUUUAAACAACUACACUGCAAAGGAUGGAGAUCGGUGUAUCUUAACCCGGAAAGGCCGCAAUUUUUGGGCACUUCUACAACAAACUUAAAUGACUCGUUGGUUCAAGGCACGAGAUGGAGUUCGGGAUUGGUUCAAGUAGCAAUCUCAAAGUAUUGCCCUCUGAUAUAUGGACCACCGAGGAUGUCUUUGCUUGAAAGCAUGGCCUAUGCUGACCUUGGAAUGUUCCCUCUUCUUAAUUGCUUGCCUCUGUGGUGCUUUGCCACCGUCCCUCAACUCUGCCUAUUCCAUGGCAUCCCAUUGUACCCUGAGGUAAUUCAUAUGUUAUUUGAAUACAUAACAUUGGUACCUCUAAUGUAUUUACAUAAGGUUUUCUACUCUUUUCGAUACAUUCUUUUCUUUUCGUCUUUGCUAUUAAUUACUGUCAAUCUAUUGCGCUUUCACAUGCAGGUUUCAAGUUCAUCUUUCCCCAUAUUCGUAUUCGUUUUCCUGUCGGCGCUUUCUAAACAUCUAUACGAGGUUCUUUCAACUGGUGGAUCAAUCAAGAUAUGGAGAAAUGAACAGAGAAUAUGGAUGAUAAGGGCAGUCACAUGCCAACUUUAUGGAAGCUUAAAUGCCAUUAUGCUCAAGCUUGGCUUAGCUGAAGCCAGUUUCUCGGCCACAAAUAAAGUCGCGGAUGAUGAACAAGUGAAGCUCUACGGAAUGGGAAAGUUCGAUUUCCGAACAUCAAAAAUGUUUCUUGCUCCUCUGGUCACAAUCAUCUUGUUGAACAUUGCAGCCUUUGUUUGCGGAGCUAUCAGAUCAACGAUCAUCACAGGAGAUUGGGACAAGAUGUUUGUGCAAAUUUCUAUGUCGUUUUAUAUCUUGGUUAUGAAUUAUGCUAUCAUUGAAGGGAUGAUUGUGAGGAAGGACAAUGGCCGCAUUCCGCCAUCUGUCACUCUAUCGUCCGCUUUGCUUUCUGGGAUUUUCUUGCCUUUGGUAUCAAUAAUUCUCAGGCACUAAGUGACAUUAAUUUGUAGUGUGUGGUCUAUUUUCUUAAAUAAUUUCUCUAUCAAAUGUUCAGUUGAUUUAAGAUCUCGACUUCUCGAUAUUGAUUAUGAUUUGCUUUCAGGGUCUGUUAUUGUUUCGUUAAGUCUCUUGACCAACAUAAAAUCAUUUCCCUAUCAAAUGCAUCAAGUCAUUCAUCCGUUUUGUGAGUACCAAUUAGUUGAGGUGAUAAAAUCUUGUGUUAAAAAUUAGACGUUUAGGGUUUGAACCCGCUCCGCUCACAUUAAUUGGACGACAAAGUAAAUGGUCAAUUUUGGUUUUGCACCAACACGUAAAUCUGCACAACUAUCCGAAAAAGCAAGAAAAUUAGAUUCAUUGGUUGAUGUGCUUCUUCUCAGAGUUUCCGCGAAGUUGAUAAAUAUGCAAUGAAUUGACCCUUGGUUAUUUGGCUCUAAUAUAAAUAUUACAUGGACUUAUUGAACGAAACGUAUUGUUAUUGUCUACAAGUAUGUUGUGUCAUUACAAAUCAAUAAGCUAAUGACACUUGGAAACCUUUAUCUCAGGUAAUUAUUAUUGUCCAUCCAAAAUUUGCGUGGCAGUGUUCUCAGCCGUUGGCCGAAAAAGCUUGGAAAAUCAGAAUAACUAGCUUAAUUAUAGCAAUGAAAUUCUUUCAUUAAUCUUUCUUGUCGCGUCAAGUCACUCUCUGGAAAGGCACCUCCGCCCGCUUUGAAUGGGAUGGGAGAUUGAUAUUUUCUCUCUACAGUUUGAAAUGUUUUCCAUUUAAUAUCUCUUUCAAAUUUUACAAUAUUUCAAUCACUCUUGUGAUGUCGAAAUCAAAAAAAAAAAAAAUUGAUGAGUUUUUCAACGAAAGCUUUUGUAUUUGGGGUUGGGAACUACAGAGUACGAACACUCUCACGAGUCAAGAGGGUGAUUGGUCAUGCGUGGGGCAUGCAAAGUUAUUAUUGUGGCGAAGACUUUGGGAUAUUAUUGAGUACGGUUUGUUGAAUACGUGUUCAUUAGUUAAUUAGUUUAAAAUUAAGUUGAGUAGUGAUUAUUUUAUUUUGAAUAAUCUUUGAUUAUUUUGUUGCCAUUAAGUAGUGGUUAAUGUUCUAUUUUUUAAGGAUAUUUUUUAGGAAUUAGGAAUAGUUGUUAAUUUUUUUUGUAUUUAAAUUUUUUGACAAUCAUUAAUUAUGGAAGUUGAAUUCAAUUAAAAUUAUUGUAGUUUUUUCUUACCCUAAGAGAAUAUUAUCGUUACUAUAUAAUUUACGACUUUGACUGGGACCUAUCGGAGGGUAAGUGUUAAACUUUAAAAACUGUCGAGAGAAAGGGUCGCGUCAUUCUCCCACCUAUAAUUAUAUAUGUUAGUCUUGUCCAUGGAUGUAAAAUGAAUGCAGGCGGAGACGUAACUAGAACAUCGGAGGUCAAAAGUAAAAUAAUCACAAUGUCAAUUUUUAUGCCUUCUUAGGCUCAGGUUUUGGAUUCCAACUUCGACAAGUUGCGUGAGUGAGUGAGUUAAUAAUAAUAAUUGGCCGAAAAAAAAAAAAAACUUAUCCAUCAUGCCUUCUUGGCAUGAUAGAUAAGCACUGUCUCAUUAUAUUUGUCUGAUUUUGUUGGAAGUUGCGAAGAAAUAUUAAUCAUUGUCAAUUGAAAGUUCUUUUUUUAUUUUUUAUUUGUCUAAUUUUGUUGGUAUAUAUAGUGAUUUUGAACAAAAGAAAAUUUUAAAUUUUUUAUUCAAGUUUAUUUUAUUUGAGGUGUUCUUGAAACAAGGAUGCCAAUGUCUAUUGGUACUGUGCUCGAAUGCCUGCAUGUAUAUUUUGUUAAUUUGGCAGGAAGAGAUUGAUUUAGGUGUGUGCGAUGUCGAUCCUUUGAGCUUGGUUACUAAUAUUACUCCAUAAUUUAUAAUCAAUUAUUGAAUUAAUUUGAUCAUUAAGGGUAUAUAAGUUAUUUCACCUGAUUUGUGUUUUCAAAAAAUUUAAAUCUUAUGACUAACAUCAAAAUUAAGGUUAAAAUAGUAAAAUUAUAAAUAAAGUUAACACCGUUAUAAUUAUAGGGGGUUUGGACCUAUUCUAAAAUCUAAGGAGGAUUUCGCUUAAUUUCUCCAAACAACAUAAAGAUAAUCCCUAUUUUCCUUAGUGAAGAGGCAAAUGAUUUGUAUAAUACAAUGUGCAUUUGUCCUUUGUAUCAAAGAAAAUAUGAAACAUAAAACUAAACAUUUUUCUUGAACACAUAGAACGUGGACAUCGACUCUGACACUUUUGUUUGACGCACUAGAGUUUUUCUUAUAUUUUGACUAUUAGGAUUUGGCUAUGAUUCUUGUCCAUUAAUGCUGUAGAUAAGGAGAUAAAAAUCUUUUAAGAAAAAUCAAUGAAUUGUGUUGUGGGAAAGACUUCAGAUUUUGGUAUAUCCAACCUUAUAGUAACUCCUCAUUGCAACCACAUGUCACACAACUCAGUAUUUAUUUUAUUAUUUUAUAGGGUGAGACUAUUUGAAUCCAUAUUUAUACUCGUUAUACCUAUUUGAUAAUAAAAUUUUAUAUCACAAAAAUAUCCUCAUAUAUAAUUACGAACCAAUCCUCUUUUAAUUUCUUAUCUCUCUUGCAUCCGGCUUUGUGUAUAUUUUCUCAUUAAAUUGAUUUUCGUUAAGGUAGAAAAAUGCUAUUCCAUGAAAUUAUACAAUUUAUUAAUAGCUAAUUCAAUUAUAGAUGCUAUCGAAAUUAAAAAUAAUCUCUUGGUUACCAUAAGAAAAUUGAUUUUUUUUCCAGAAAACAAUUAUAAACUACCACUCCACUCCUUUCCGGUCCAAAAUAUUUGCGGGUGAACCAAUAUUUUUCCAAGGCACUAGUUUCAUAUUUUUAAAAUGUUUGCAAUUGGUCAACUCAUUAACUUUCCUGUUGGGGUAAAAAAAAAAGUAUCAAAAUAGUUACCAUUAUAACUUCUAUCCAUUCUUGUAUUUGGGAAGAUAUUUGAUAUAUUUAUUAUUUUUUGGGUUAGAUUGGGGAGAGAAAAUUUUCCCCCCACUCCAAAAGUAUUAGAAUUUUCGGCAAAAUUCUUGCUGGUUGCUGCAAUUUCAGAUUUCGUUUAUAUUCGUGUGGAAGCAUUUUUUGGAAGCAAAUGCAUGAGAGAAGCAGAUGAACGAAGAAGGGUUAGUUUUGGAAUAUGUAAGGGUUUGUUCAGUAAAAAUGGAUGUUUUCAAUUGUAGUGAUGGGUGUAUAAAGAAGAAGAGUUUAAAGAAUAAAAAAUUGGGUUCAAAUAGUCUUACACCAUUUUAUAAGUAAGUUAUUACACUCUAAUUCUCAAUUCCAAAAUUUUGACAGUAAUGACAUUUUGUUUCUUUUCAAAUCGCGGCAUUUCUGUUUUCUUCUAAUAACGGGCUUGGUAUAAAAAGAAAUCGGGCUGAUCUCGCCUUGCAAUGGGCUGAGCCCACAAAAUACAAGGCCCAUGAUUGUUGAGAGAGGAUUAAUGAAUCACAGCCACGCGCCCCGCGUGGGGAUUUUAAAAUUGAAACGAACCGAAAGGGAUCCCUCUACCGCCUGUCCAAAAUUCAAAAAUUUCAAUGUGUGUAUUCCGAUCUCCAUCUCAAUCACACAUUUGAUUGGAGAAAGAACAACAUUCAUGGAGCCACCGGCUAUGAAGCUGAUCAUGGUCCGGGGCCCACGCUCGGGCGAAACCAUAGAAUUCAAACCCGGAUCCAAAAUCCGAAUCGGCCGAAUCGUGCGCGGCAAUGAUGUCACCAUCAAGGACGAAGGCAUCUCGUCUAAGCACCUCAUUAUCGAAUCCGUGUCCGGUAAAUGGACCAUCCGAGACCUGGAUUCCUGCAACGGCACCUUUCUCAACUCUACGACGCUUCCACCCAACACCCCCUUCGAUCUCCGCGAAAACGACACCAUCAAACUCGGAGAUUGCACCACCAUCUCGGUCCAGAUGAUCACGAUGGACAGCCAGGAUGAGUCGGUCGCGAAGCCGAAGAGGAAUCCGAGGCGUCAAGCGAAUGUGCCCGGGACUUCCAGUGUGAGAGCGACUAGGGGUCGUAAGAAGGCGGAGGCGGAACCCGUCGAGACUUUGGGAUUAGAAGGUGGACAGAUUGAAGAUCAGAGUAAAAUUGCCAUAAAGGGUAGGGGGAGGAACAAGAAUUUACAAGAAAUGCCACCGGAGAGUGUCGAAGUUCAAAUUGAAAGCAAGGGGAAUUUGGAACUAGAAGAGGGUGGAGAGAUUGAGAGUGAGAGUAAAAUUACCAAAAAGGGUAGGGAAAGGAGCAAAGAUUUACAGGAAAUGCCACUGGAUGGCGGCAAAGUUAAAAUUGAGAGUGAAGAUAAUUUGGAACCUCUUGAAGUACUUGGAGUUCAAGUUGAUUGUAAAGAAAAUUUUAGACCAGGUAAGGAAACAUCGAAGAAGUGUCAAGUUCAAGUUGAUGGUAAGGAAAAGACGAAUAUGACCCUGACUGCUAGUGUGAGAGUCACUCGGAGCCGGAUGAACGCAUUGAAUUUGGGAUUUGAUUGUGGAGAGAUGGCAGCGACUGAGAGUAAAAUUACUCGAAAAGGUAGAGGAAGGAAGAAGAAAUUACAGGAAAUGCCACCGCAGAGUAGUAGUGAAGUUGAAACUGAAGGGAAGGAACGUCUGGUUCCAGAAGAAGUGUCAAAGACUUGUGAAGUUCAAGCUGAUGGUAACGAAAACUUGAAAUCAGAGGAAGUGGCCAAAGAGGGAGAUGCUAAAGAAACUUGUGAUAAGGUUGAGGAUAAAGUGGACAAUGGGGUUCAAGAGCAGAAGGUGGAUUUGGCGAAGAUGACACUGGGGGAGUGGUUUGAUUAUAUGGAGGUUUAUUUGCGGAAGCAGAUCCUUAAUACGACAGAGGAGAUGAUAGAGGAGAUGAAAAGUAAAGCUGAGAGAGUUCACAAGUACAUGAUCGAGGAGAAGAAGAAGAAGAAGAUGGAUAACCUUUGAGAGAUAUGCACAUUAUUAUUCAUUUUUGGUAGUUUUAGAAAUAUGUAUUUGUGUUUCCUCUGAUUUUAUUGUUAAUGCAAAUGUUAAUGUUGUUGUUGCACAGUGUAUCUUUAUGUCGCACACGUUUAUCACUUCGGACUUCCUAGAUGUUAUGCAAUAAGUAGUUCCCUUGUGUAAGUACUAUUACUGUUUGAAGUAUCAGUAGAGGAGGGAAACUUUCACUUGCCUAUGAGAUUAGUUAUUGUUGUAAGCAACUUACCAUGCUUGAGUACUUAAACUUUCUCAUAUGUUUGGCAAAUCUAAGCAUUGUUUCUAGACCUUUCAUGGCAGAGAUACUUCCAUUGGAUGAUUAUUAUGGUUCUGCUAGUGAGUUGAUUUUUAUCUGCUUUUCAUUGUUAUUUGAUGUGUGGUCUUCUGUAGAAAUACGAUGGACAAAGUUAUAUCAGAAACCUGUUGGUGGUUCUAGAUCGAAGGAGAUGAAAAGACAAAUAAUGGUUCGCCCAUCCUUUCCUCCUAUAUUUUGUGAAAGUCAAAUGCCUGACGUCAACAACAUUACAGAAGUGGUUGUUAUUGUCAAUGAUGUAUGGAAGGUGGGGGAUUUGGUUGAUUGGUGGACUGAUAAUUGUUAUUGGACUGGAAGGCUAACAGAAAUACUUGGGGAUGGGAAGGCUCGGGUAAUAUUUUUGCACCUCAUUUAUGUUAUGUACUUAUUGAGACUUCUUAAUAUGGCUUGUUCCUUGUUAUUUUAUUUCAUGCCUACUUUGAUAGGCUGUACGCAUGUUUUUUAUGACAGUAUGCUGUUUACAAUACUGCUCUUGUUAUGCAAUAAUGGAGUCUUGUUUUCUUAUAAAUUUUUUCUUUUCUAACAAUUUUCUCCUAGUAUUAUAAUAUAAAUUAUUGCAUCAGAAUUCCACUUUCAUAUAGCAUAUAACAUCUGCAGUGGAGGAAGAAUUUUCAUAUUAUCAUGAAAAAAAAUUCUCUCUUCUUACCCUAGCGCUUCACAGCAUGGCUUAUUACUCUGUGUUAGAGAGUAUUCUUUCCGGAGCUUAUACUUUUCAAUUUCUGUUAGUUGCUCAACUGAGUUUCAGUAGUUGGGCUAACAUGCCUUUACCGGAGGGGGUGAGUUAUGAAGGGAGAGAGGGACAAAUUCCUCCCACUUGGAACUCUGAAUCUUUUCCAGUUUACAUAGUUACUAAUCCCUAGUUCCUGCAUUUGGCACAGAGCUUUCGAGUCUUAAAAUUGGAAUAAUUGUGGCAAAUAUGCAGUAGGUAAUACAUAUUGUUUCAAGAAUCUGGAGCGGAAAAAAGUGCUUCUGCACCGAAUACAUGGAAAAAGAUGCAUAAGCAUGUGAAUAUUCUAAAACAAAUUCUCAUCUCAAUACCUUUCGGAAAAUCUUUUUUUUUUUUUUUUCCCUUUCCUUUCUCGCUCUUUUGACGUUUUCAUGUGGGAAAAGUGUUUGUCCUUUUACAAAAGAAGUCAAGAGAACCAUAGUAAUGUCACCUUUGUAGUACACAAUGGAAAUAUUUUGAGGGAUAUGAUCCUUAUAUUUGUUGCAGCAGAUCAUUUAAAAUAGUAAUGUAAUUGUAGAAUUGGCAGGCAGUCUUUUGACCACUGCAUACUAGACAUCUUUUAAUUAAGGUUUAACACUAUUUUCAUGUAAAUUGUAUUGGUAAAAAUCAUAAGGCAGUGAACAAGAACAUUUUUAUGACUUUUGCAUUAUGUAUGCACUUUUUCAGGAGGGAACUGUAAUUGAAAAUAAAUCUCAGUAAUGUUGUGUGCAAAGGUUUUUUUAAUUUAAUUUUUUUCUCAUCGUUUUUCCUUUUUCUUGUUCUAACAGAAACAGUUUUAUUAAUUGAUAAAUUCUAAACCCUCAUCAUGUCUUUCUACAAGCCUUUGUAACUUUAAGGCUUGAAUUUCAAGAUUACGAAUGGGUUAAUUGCUUAAUUGGAGGAACUAUUUUUUAAUGAAAAAAUAUUUUUAGUCCACCUUUUGGUUUCUCCUGAAAAAGCUUUUUUACAAUUAUAUAUUCUAUUCUACAGAUUGAGCUCCUACCACCUCCGGUUGGUGAGGGGUUGUCUUAUGAAGUUUUCCUCAAGGACCUACGCCCAACCUUGGAAUGGUCUCUAGACAAUGGCUGGACCGUGCCCACUUCUGUAUUGUCUCUUUCUCCUAUGUCUACAUUUUUAUGCUUGUCUGUAUUCUUUUUCAUUUUAUUCCUUCAAAAUAUAUUGCUGCUUAUAACCUUAAACCUGUUAUGACUUGUUAAAUGCAUGACACUGGCAUCUUGUUACUUGAAAGGCAAUUUAUAUUGAUAAACAAUUUUAUGAAAGGAGAAGUAAAAGGCCCAAUGGCCUAUGGGCUUAGGCACCUUGUAUUCAAAUGUAGAUGAUAUCCUUCUGCCAUAUGCAGAUACCUUGUAUUCAAAUGUAGAUAAUGAUCCUUUUUCUAUGUGGCCUAGAUACCUUGUACUCAAAUGUUGAUACCAUGUAUUUGACCUUGUAUUCAAAUGUUGAUACCAUGUAUUUGUUUUCCUUACUUGUUGGCAAUGGCUAUCUUUUGAAGGAGAAAGAAAGCAGUUAUUGUGCUCGGAUAAUCAAGCCACUGAAUCCUGUGAAUCAAGGUAGGAGUGCUGCCAGAUGCACCAUGUCUCUGCUCGUUGUUUAAGAGCAGAGCAUGGUAGUCUGGGUGCAUUUCCAUUUCUCUUCUUUUCAUUUUUCGUCCACCAAUUUCUGGUGCUCUUGUGCUGCUACCGUCUGAUAUUAGUGUUGGCCAAAAGAUGUAGACAACUAGACCUAAGAAUGUAUGUCAUUUUUUUUUUUUUCUUGCAUUCAUGUCUAUGCGACUUACAAUUUCUGAACUCCAAUAUCUAAGUUCCUAUAUGAGGACUAUAAAGCCUGGGAUUAAAUGCAGAAAUUGCUUUUCCUGAUCGCUAUUGUUGUUUCAAUAGAAACUUCCUGUAUGCAAAUUUGCUAUACACUGUGUACUGAUGUUGGUGUGCAGCGAUCCAUUCUCUCUUUAUGGAGGACAUUGUUUGAUUCACUCUGGUUUCAUAGAAUGUGGGAUCUGCAAUAUCAAAUUGUUAGGAUUUAGGAAGUUGUUAUAAAUUGAUAAGGAUUUGAGACUAACCAACAACUUUGAGUAUAUGACAUAUGAUUGCAUAACAAUAAUUUAGUUAACAUAACAGCUUGAAUUCUGCUGGCGGGUGGAGAAACCUACCUGGACUGGGCCUGUCUAUGAUUAUCAGAUUUCAUCUGCUUAUAUAAAUAGAGUCACAAACAUACUCUCAUUUUUGGGCAUUGAGGAAACUCUCAUCCCUGCUAGAAAAUUUGGCUUGAUGCCCCUUGAAGUUGUUUGAUAACCAUUGAAGAGGUAUAAUUGUAAGUGGGAAUAAUGAUCAGGUGCGGGCAGUUGCACACCUUAUAGAGCGUGACUGUGCUCAGCUGAUCAGAACCCUGUUAGUAUAUACUGAUAGGGUAGUAUCAGCUUUCAAUGAGAAGUUCUAAUAUUAACCUAUCUUCUGGCUUACAAGAAGGAUCUAAUUUAAUUUUUAUUAUGGUUUGAAUUUUUAAAUUUGAUGGGAACUUCUGUUUCUGCAGAGGGCUCUCAAAACUUGAUGGUCCCUCCAGUAGAAAUGACAGAGAAUGCUCAGCCAACAGCUGGACCAUCACCUGAAUGUAAUGCUUCAUUUUCUUCUCGUAUGUCGACUAGUUCACUACCAUCUCAGGACAAAUCAGAGCGACAUGCAAAGCGACCUUUGAGCCCUGCGGCUUCUAAGGAGAUGCAUGCACUGGAAACAAAAAUGGGCUUUGAUGCGGUGGAUUCAGGCAUUGGGAAAUCAAGUUAUUCAGAUAGUGUUUCAAGUUCACAAAUUAGAGAUGCAGCAACUGAAAUGCCUGAUACUGAUGCCGGAAACAAAAGUUGUGAGAAUAGUGGAUCCUCAAAGAAGAUGAGAUACGAUAGAAGCAUUCCUUUAAAUUCGUCAUUUUCUGAUACAAUAGAAGCAGCAAUCUUAGACUAUGAGGAACUUGUAAACCGGGUUAAAUGGAUCAAGGCUAUCUUACAGUCGGGGACUAUUCCAUCGAAUACCGUGCGACCAAUGUGGAAAUUUUUGGAGCACCGAUCAUCAAAAAAGAAGGUUAGCUUGCUUAAAUGACUACCUUUAGACUUCAGUAUGAAUGUCUGCAUUAGUAAAAAAAAAAAAAAAUUAAUGUGCUGUUCUCUCUUAAUCGAUUUUGGUCCUAUUGAUAUUCCAGGAUUAAGAUUGAAUCUCUAGCCGAGCUUGGGACCUUUCAACACCCGCUUAAAUCACUCUUUGGCAAACAGAUAGGAUGGGAAACUGAAGUUAAUUAGUAAGUUUUCCCUUCUGAUUUGCCUACCGGAACAAAGUUUUUCGGUUCUAUGCAUACCCCCUGACUAUUGGUGAUGGAAUGAAUUAUCAGCUUUUAGAAGACAUUAUUUUCACUUCAAGAAGAGUUAUCGGGAGCAGUUCUGGGUCUGUUUUCGCUUGGGCGGUUUCUUUUGCCAGGUGUAAUAUCUGCUUGGUUGUACAACAACUAACCUUUGAAAGGAUUGAUACAUACAUACAUACAUACAUAUACACACACAAAUGUGUCAACCAUGUUGGAUUUUAUUCCAAGCUUAUUUUUUUGGACCUGCAUACAUACAUUUGUUAUUCACACGCAAACGUGUCAACCAUGUUGGAUUUUAUUUCAAGGUUAUAUUUUUGGAACUACAAGCUUAUACGGGCAUGUUUUGGUAUCAAUUUGGAAAUUUAGUCAAUUCAGGGUAGAUUGUUGGCAAAUUCAAUCAAAUAUUCAAAUCCAUAAACACAAAAUAAUAAUAAUAAUAAUAAUAAUAAUAAUAAUAAUAAUAAUGAUAAUGUUGUCAAAAGAAAUAUGUUCUUAAUGGGACUAGUUAAUAAAAUUUUGUCUUAUUACUUGAAGUAACACCAAGCCCUCGAGGGGUCUGCUAAGAUGUUCUUAAUGGGAUCAGUUGAUAAAAUUUUGUCGUCAUAUCUCUUAUGUGGUUAAAAAAAUCACUUUAAGAUAUGGAUUAAAUUAAAUUAAAUUACAAAGGCACGUGCAAUUUCCAAACCCCGCACCCCCCAGCAUGCUUCGCUCGUUUCCUCACUCUCCUAAUAAAAAAUGUACAAACACAUAAAUCUAUCGAUGUGGGAUUCUUCUACCGUUUCUCUGCACCGAGCCCCAAUUCGCUUAGCGAAACACAAAUUUAAUAGUUAUGCUUCAUGGAUGACGUUAGUUUGUUGGAGGACAUAAAAGUAAUUUUCUUUUAAAUUUGUUAUUAUUAUUUUUUUUUUCGCUUAGAAAAUUUCUCUAUGGUCCAAAAGUUUAGAUACCGUCACGGAUACGCAACGAAAUAUUGUCGGAGUAGAGCGACAAAACAUCUUUUAUCAUAUGUGGGCUGUUCAAUGGUUGCAAAAUAAAAGACGUGUGUGUUUUUUUGGCCUUUUGGAUUGUGUUAGUACUCUAGUGGUGUUUGGGCAACCUCGUGAUUCCCUUAGCGAUUUGCUAUCGGGCCGCCAAAAUUUGUUUGUCUUUUCGUAUGUUCUGAUUAGGGAUGGCAAAAUAAUCCAGACUCGGCUCGGACUCGGAUGAAUCCGGAUAAUCCGGGUCGGGUUGAAUCCGCACCGGAAUAUAAAAAAAUUUGGGUCUGGAAUAAAUUUUAAUAACCCGGAUAUAUCCGGGUCUGGGUCCGAAUUUAGGUUAACCCGGACAUCCGGAACCCGGACCCAGAUAUUUAAUUUUAAUAUUAUUUUUUAAUUAAUUUUAUUGAUUAAUCUAAAUGUGUUAUUGUUUAGAAAUGUAUUAAUUUUUUAUUUUUAGAAUUUUAGAAAUUAAUAUUGAUCCAUUGAUCCGGGUUCAAAACCCGGAUUUUUCCGGGUUGAACCCGGACCCGGGUGAAAAAAUCCGGGUUAAAAUCCGGGUCCGGGAAAAGAAAAUAGUAUCCAGGUCCGGAUCCGGAAAGGCUAAACUCGGACCCGGAUUUUGCCAUCCCUAAUUCUGAUGCUGCCUUUGUAAUGAUUAACGUAUUUGAUUUUGGAAACCUCUCUCACUGUUAAAAGUGAUUGAAACCCUUUAAAAUGAUUAAUAUAUUUCGGUAUUUGUUUUGAAAACAUCUUCUCCCUGUUAAGUAAUUAAUUCAUUGAACAAUUAUCUUUGGCUUCGCCUCUGUGAGGUCAAAGUGAAAUACAAACCCAACUUCACUUGAAGGAAGUCCAAAGAGAGCAAGCUGUUGAUUCAUUCACUUACUCAGGAUCCCUUGGAUCUAUUAUUGCAUGUCACACCCCACCUGUUUGCAAUUGAACAACUCUUUGAAAAGCCAUGAUACUUUAGACCACGUGAAAAAAAAAAAAAAAAUUUGAUAGAAUGUUAAUACAAACAAUGUAUGAUUAGGCGGCUGGAUUUACUUUGUUAAUUGAAAAAUAUUAAAAAGACAGAGAAAAUUGAGGGUGCGUUUGGGAUUAAGUUUAGGUAGCUGUACCUUUUAAGGUACAGCACUAAAGUGCUUGAUAAACACUAGCUGUUGUAGCUUGAAAUAUAUGUUGAUAUAAUUUUUCACUUAUAUAAUAGAAAAUCUAUUAUAUCUUUAAUAAUUUUAUCAAAAUUAUUAUUUAAAAUUUACAUUUAUAAUAUAUUACUAACUUUUAUUUUAUAGUUAUAAUUUUUUUUCCACAACAACUAUAAUUUAAAAGAUACAUCACCUCAAUUACAAAUAUACUCUGAAUCCGGUGUUAUUAACUUGUUUCUGUCAGCACUCUAUCAAUCAACCUUUAAUUUCUGGAGCUGGCUAAGUUACAGAUUCUGUAUUCUGUAACAUACAGAUCCAACUUAGCCAACUCCUGAUUGGUUAGCUAGCUACCAAACAAAAACAAUUGCAUGCUGUUUCUCCAUAUGCACGACAGGUGUGGUGCAUGCAGAAUCUGUAAGGUAGACAGGUCCUUAAUUUCUUUAGUAUUUUGACUCUCUUUAAAAGCAAGCACAUGUGAUGUUCUUUAUGGACCAACUCUAUAGCAAUUAUAUCUUUGUGAUGGGAAAAAUCUCAGCUUCUUAUGCGUAUAUUGAUUCUUAUUAUAUUCAUUGAUUAAAAAGUACAACUCUUGCCUUUGAAAUAAACCUACUAACACAAGGUCACAGGCAGCAAAGGAUGAGAGCAAACAAAAACAUGGAGAAACAACAAAACUCUCUCCCACUUCACGUUAGCCAUGUUAAAAAAUCCUCCUUAAUAAUCAAUAGGUCAUUUGCACUGCUUCAUUUUACAUCCUUAGCUUUCUUGGGGUACUACAGAGUCUCUUAUUUCUUCCAAGUAUCCAACGCCAGAGCCGCGCCGCUGUUGCCAUGGCUUCUAGUCUUUGCUGCCGAGCUUCUCCUCUCCUUUCAGUGGCUCCUAGGCAUAGCUUAUUGCUGGCGUCCCAUUUCUCGUACCGUUUUCCCCGAAAGGUUACCGGAAGCCGAGCAACUUCCGGGUAUAGAUGUGUUUAUUUGCACUGCGGAUCCGACUAAAGAGCCAACUGUGGAGGUAAUGAAUACGGUUUUGUCAGCUAUGGCGCUUGAUUAUCCGCCAGAGAAGCUGCAUGUUUACCUUUCAGACGAUGGAGGUGCUUCUAUAACUUUGCUUGGUAUGAGGGAAGCUUGGAAGUUUGCAAGAUGGUGGCUUCCGUUUUGUAAGAGGUUUGGGAUCAAAACAAUAUGCCCUGAAGCUUAUUUUUCUGAUCCAGAGAAUGGUGAUGGUGACUCUGGAAAUGCUGAGUUCAUUGUUGAGAGGGAAAAGAUUAAGGUUCGUUUGUUAUUAUUACUGUUAUUAUCAUACUAAAAUCUUAGUCCUGAAAAUCUGAAGUAGAAAGAGAUUUAAGAAAUAUGUUGAAACCUUCUAACUUAUUUAGGUUGAAAAAGAAUAAUUUUAAUGCCAUUUUUCUAAGAUGCUUUUUAAAUCGUUUGUUUUUGUUUUUUGAGUGCAUAGACAUUCUAUUGAGAUAGAUUUGUUGAUUGCAAAUGCUUUUGGUGCAGGAAAAAUACACUGAGUUCAAGGAACGGGUAACGAGAGCCAUUGAAAAAUGGGGGCUAGAGAACGAAGGCAUUUCCAGAAGUCGAGAUCAUCCUUCUGUGGUUGAGGUAUAAUAAUAUGAUGAAAAUAUCCAUUCCCAUCGCUUGAUCAAUAAUGCUAUAAUUUGACUUUGACUUUUUUUUUUUGGGGUUAAAGUAGCAUAGUGAUUUUGACUCUUUUGGCAUCACAGCAUUGAAUCCUACUUUCACAGACAGAGACCCUCAUAAAAAAUAACAAAGAGAGAUAAGGAUUAAACUAAAAUUUUACUCAUUUAAUGUUUGGUCCUUAUCGAUUCACUUUUUUUAUGACAUAUGACUUCUCUUGAGUUUGUUAUUGUUAUAUUAUGGUCCCCAUCGGAUCAAAAUUUUAGUUGCAGCCAAAAAUUGAGAAUCCGGAGGGACCAAAAGUCAUAAGAGUAAACUUUUAAGAGUCACAAUUAAAAAGAAAAAAAAAGAGUAAACAUAUUAAAAUAAGGGUAAAAUAUCAAGUUGACAAAAUCAUAGGGCCAAUUCUUAAAAGAGUUAUUAACAACUUAAUAUGUGUUUUUUUUUUUUUUUUUGGUGUUUUCGCUAUUGAGUAUACUUAACGACACGACUGGUGAUUUCAUUUUUCUGCAGAAUCUGGCUAUUAAAUUAUAUAUAAUCGGUUCACAUAUACGCAUAUUUUUCAGGUGAUAGGAGAAAACGAUAAUGAAGCAGCGAAUCAGGAACAACAAAUAAAUAAUAAGAUGCCUCUCCUUGUCUAUGUUGCUCGCGAGAAAAGGCCUUCUCA
rnacentral:lncRNA from 1 species